rnacentral:rRNA from 1 species
UACAGAGGGGGCAAGCGUUGUUCGGAAUUACUGGGCGUAAAGGGCGCGUAGGCGGCCUGUUAAGUCGAACGUGAAAUCCCCGGGCUCAACCCGGGAACUGCGUCCGAUACUGGCAGGCUUGAAUUCGGGAGAGGGAUGUGGAAUGCUUGGUGUAGAGGUGAAAUUCGUAGAUAUCAAGCGGAACACCGGUGGCGAAGGCGGCCUUCUGGACAGUGACUGACGCUGAGACGCGAAAGCGUGGGGAGCAAACAGG